AAGUCGUAACAAGGUUUCCGUAGGUGAACCUGCGGAAGGAUCAUUACAAAUCAAUAGAGGAGUAUCGAUAAGUGAAGGGGGAGGGUAGUUGGGGGUUGGUAGGUGUUAGGUAGGUAUAUAUAUACCCGCCUUGCCAACUAACCAACUCUGCCACCACUGACACUACGAUACCUACCUCCAUGUGUUCGAGGCAGCAAUGCUUCGUGACAUUUACGCUUGUUUUGUUUGCCAGAGUAGUAGUGAUUAUUAUGAAAGAGACAACUUUUAACAAUGGAUCUCUUGGCUCUU
rnacentral:misc_RNA from 1 species